rnacentral:ncRNA from 2 species
AUUAAAAAAGGAGAUGAAGCUCUCCGUAGUAUAAAAACUAAAACUACAAUUAUAGAUUGUUAAUAGCUUCUGCAGUAUU